GCACACCCAAAGCAAACUUUCCUUGAGAGAACGAGAGGGAUUUGAACAUCUGUGGUGUUUAAAGAUCCUACAAUGGAGAGAGGGACGAAUUCACAGGCGUCAUCCGGACCUUCAUACGAGGUUUUUCUCAGUUUUCGCGGACCCGACACCCGUCAUGGAUUCACCGAUUGUCUUUACCACGGUAUGGUUGCGGCCGGGAUUCUCGUCUUUAGGGACGAUGAAUCCCUCCGUGUCGGUGAAAGAAUUGGUGGUGAACUUCUACGAGCAAUUGAGAAUUCCAAGAUCUACAUUCCCAUAUUCUCCACAAAUUAUGCUUCGAGCCACUGGUGCCUCCGAGAGCUCGCAUACAUGGUCGAGUGCGCCUCGAAAUUGAAUGGGAACAAAGAGAUUCUGCCGAUUUUCUUUGACGUGGAACCUGUUGAUGUCAAGCUCAAAACAAACUUAUACAGACAGAAUCUUUCGCAGAUCCAGAAGACAUUUCGCACUGAAGUAAAGUCAUGGGAAAAGGCUCUCAUUGAUGUGGGCAAGAGAAAAGGAUGGAACUUGAAGAAAGAUGAAGGCCAAGGAAAUCUGAUCCAUUCGGUAAUUCAAGCUGUCUUGGCUAAGCUGAAUGUCAGUUAUAAAAAUGUGACUGAACAUCUAGUUGGAGUUGAUGAUCGUGUAGAAGCUAUAAUCAAGAUGUUGGAUGUGAAAUCAGAUAGUGUGCAGUUCCUCGCAAUACACGGAAUGGGCGGUGUUGGCAAAACAACACUAGCCAAAGUCGUCUUCAACCGACUGUCUUCUCAGUUCCAAGGCUGCAAUUUCCUUUCGGAUGUUCGAGAGUCCUCAGAACGACAUGGCCUGGUAUAUUUGCAAAAACAAUUGUUGUCCAAGUUUCUUGAUUCUGGUUCUGUCAACCAAAUUUAUGACGUGGAUGGUGGGAUCAACAUGAUUAAGAGGGUACUUUGUAAUAAAAAAGUUCUGAUUGUUCUUGACGACAUUGAUGAAGACAAGCAACUGAAAAGUGUGGCAGCAAAAGAAAAUUGGUUCGGUUCCGGUAGUAGGAUUAUCAUUACUACUAGAUACAAAAAUGUCCUAAUGAUUGAUGGAGAAUCAAUAGGUGAAGGCCCUUUGAAGUCUGCUAAUAUUUCAACUUAUGAAGUACAGGAAAUGGAAUUUCAUCACGCACUUAAGCUUUUCAGUAGACAUGCCUUCAGGAGAGAGACUCCACCCGAUGAUUAUGUCUCCCUUUCAGAAAAAGUUGUCUCCACUUUGGGAAAGCUUCCUUUAGCUCUUGAAGUGACAGGUUCAUCACUUUCAAGUAAAUCUCAAGAAUUUUGGGUAGACACUUUGAAGAAGCUAGAAAAAGCUCCAUCCAAAGAAGUGCAAAAAACAUUGAUGAUAACUUAUGAAAGGUUAGAUGAUGCACAAAGGCAAGUAUUUCUGGAUAUAGCUUGUUUUUUUGUUAACGAGGACAAAACCUACCCAUUCUACAUGUGGGAUGAUUGUGAAUGCUUCCCAAACAAUACCAUUGAAGUCCUCUGUCUCAUGUCCUUGAUAAAAAUCAAAGAUGGCAAUACUUUUUGGAUGCAUGACCAAGUACGGGACCUCGGAAGGGCAAUUGUCCGCGAAGAAAAUUUCAAAGAUCCUUGCGAGCGUAGCAGGGUGUGGAAUCCUCGGGAAGCCCUCAGCAUUCUGAAGCAGAAAGAGGUAUAGAAAGGGAAUACCAAUCUAUUUUCAUGUGAAUUUUUGUAGACUUUAGUGCUUGAAAUUGUUUGCUUUUGACCUUCACACGUGGACUUCUUGGUGUUUCCAUUGUCGGGGAAGUAGGAAAAUAGAAGCACUAUCGCUUGGAUCUCGUGGGGACAUUCUUACGCACGAUGAAGUUGCUAAUUUACGAAACCCGAGGUUCUUGGAAGGGAAUGGGGUGUUCCUUGUCGGAGACUUCAAUAAUCUUCUCUCGAAUUUAAGAUGGUUUUCUUGGCGAUGGUGCCCUCACGAGUUUGCAGCAACAAACUUUCAUUUGACUAAUUUAGUUGUUCUUGACCUUUCAGACAGCUAUGUUUCGGAGAAAUGGAUUGGUUGGAACCAAAUCAGAGUGGCAACUAAACUAAAAGUACUAGAUCUCAGCAAUUGUGAAUACUUAAUGAGAACACCUGAUUUAUCUACGUUGGUAUCCUUGGAGAGAUUGAUUCUUGAAGACUGUCGCAACUUAAUUGCAAUUGACCCAUCUAUUGGUAAAUUGAAGCUCCUAACUACUUUGAACUUGAAGGGAUGUGAUUCUCUUCAAGAGUUGCCUGAAGAAAUAGGAUGUCUACAAGCUUUGACAGAGAUUGUCAUGCAUAAUACGCUACUUGAACUUCCGAGGACGUUUGGUAAUUUGCAGUCAUUGUUGACCCUUGAUGUAUCAUGUAGGCAGAUUAGCAAACUACCUUACUCAAUUGGAGGGCUUCUGAAACUUAGGCGGUUGAAUUUAUCUGGGUGUACGAAGAUAGAGAAACUCCCAGAACCGUUCGGGGAGUUACAAUCCUUAGUCGAGUUGGAUUUAUCAUCGACAAGUUUGCGUCACUUACCUGAUUCAAUCGGCAAUCUAAAGCAAUUGAAGAUACUAAGGAUGACCCGCAUAAGUCGGAUAACAAAAUUACCAAGUGCGAUUGGGCUGAUGGAGAAGCUUGAAGAGUUAGAUGCUAGUAGAUGUUACAACUUGACUGGCGAUAUCACUGUAGGAAUUGGCAGAUUGUCUUGUUUGAGGAUCCUAGACUUAUCAUACACAUUUAUAUCUAGCUUGCCCACCACGUUGAGUUACCUCUCUAAUCUGCAAAUACUUAAGUUGGAAUCAUGUCCUAACCUUCGAGAGUUGCCGGAGCUUCCCUCGAAAUUGAUUGGUCUAAAAUGGACCGCUGAU